rnacentral:lncRNA from 1 species
UGCAUCCACCACCUGAGAAACCCCCUGCAAUGGUGUGGAUCUCCCCGUGGAUAGGCAUCUCGUGUUGCUGGGCUUCUCCACCUGCUGGCUGGGAACUCGACGCUCCCCCCGUCCUUCUAUCCAGCAGAUAGUCAUUUAGGAACCCGCUCUUAACCAGAUCGUCGAGCUGAUACCCCAAAGACAAACACGAGUCCAAGGUGUGGCCAAAACAUUGGUGGAACUCGCACCAGGCGUCCGGCUUUGACCCCAGCACCUUGUCGCCCACCUUCUCGGGCGCCUUCAACCUAGCAGAUAUGUUAGGGAUAGCGAUCAGGUCCGCUAGUCCCAUGACAAAUUUGUGCUUAGGCGGGCGAUUGUACUCCCGGCGUGCUGGUUGCUGGCGUGCUGGUUGUUGGCGCGCUUGGCUUCUUCCCUUGUUUCUCCUGUCGUAAGGAUGGCGAGUCCUCUGGUCUUUUCUGGCCGCCGCCG